GGCGCAGGCGGGAAGCUAAGUUGGAUGUGAAAUACCGGGGCUCAACUCCGGAGCUGCAUCCAAAACUGGUUUUCUUGAGUGGAGUAGAGGCAGGCGGAAUUCCGAGUGUAGCGGUGAAAUGCGUAGAUAUUCGGAGGAACACCAGUGGCGAAGGCGGCUUGCUGGGCUCUAACUGACGCUGAGGCCCGAAAGCGUGGGGAGCAAACA
rnacentral:rRNA from 1 species